rnacentral:misc_RNA from 1 species
GAGGACCUAAAUAUAAAAAACAUAGAUGACCUAAAUAGCGUGUUAAUUUAUUGAAAAAAAAAAGAAAGCAAUCUCAAAAAAAUCCUAAUAUAAAGAACUCACAUAGCAUUGGUAGGUCUUAAAAGCAAAAGAAGGCAAUUUUAGAUAAACUAGAAACAGAUGAGUCUAGCUGGCAAUAAGGAUGAGAGAGAUAAUGAGAAGAUUGAAAACAAGGUAUGAGGAGAGAGAUCAAAGGAGCAUGAUUGUUGAAAAUGGAAAUAUGGGCAGUUUGUGAUCUUGGUGUGGUGGUUUGAUGUGAUUCCAGUGACUUUUUAUAAUAAGCAAGCCUAAUUCUGACGACUUUUUGGUGCAUUAAUACCAAAUUCUAGUGAUCAACAAAUUUCAAGUUUAGUG